AAGUCGUAACAAGGUUACCGUUGGUGAACCAGCGGUAGGAUCAUUACCACAAAAAUACCUUUACAAAAUCAACAACCCCUCAAAGUGAUGGUGAUUUGUUAUUUUAUAACAAAGAACCGGAGCUUUUUGUGAACUCGUAGACCCCGUUCGUCACUUGCUUAUCUUCGGGUAAGGGAGUGCGGAUGGACUAACCCAUAUUGCCUCUUUUCUUUUUGAAGAGAGGCAACAUGGACAACAUAAAUAAACUACAUUUUAAACAAUCAAUAUCUGAAAACACUAUUUCAUUUUUAUUUUCUUCAAUUCAUUUUGAAAAAAGCAAAAGCGAAUAAACAAAACAAAAACAAAAAACAACUUUUAACGGUGGAUCUCUAGGCUCGU
rnacentral:misc_RNA from 1 species